rnacentral:rRNA from 1 species
GUCCUAAGGUAGCGAAAUUCCUUGUCGGGUAAGUUCCGACCUGCACGAAAGGCGUAACGAUUUGGGCACUGUCUCAACGAGAGACUCGGUGAAAUCAUAGUACCUGUGAAGAUGCAGGUUACCCGCGACAGGACGGAAAGACCCCGUGGAGCUUUACUGUAGUCUGAUAUUGAAAUUCGGCACAGCUUGUACAGGAUAGGUAGGAGCCUGAGAUACGUGAGCGCUAGCUUACGUGGAGGCGUUGGUGGGAUACUACCCUCGCUGUGUUGGAUUUCUAACCCGCACCAUUUAUCAUGGUGGGAGACAGUGUCAGAUGGGCAGUUUGACUGGGGCGGUCGCCUCCUAAAGAGUAACGGAGGCGCUCAAAGGUUUCCUCAGAAUGGUUGGAAAUCAUUCAUAGAGUGUAAAGGC